ensembl:lncRNA
AUGGCCACUAUGUAUUUUAGUUGUCUAUAUGACUGUUACCAUACCAACAGAUGUAUGAUCGCAAUGAAGAGCAGACAUCAGGAGAUGAUUCAAGAACUGGAGGAGAACUUUCUCAUAUCAUCACGAGAAAAUCAGGAAAAAACAGCUCUUAGAAUGAGGACGCAUUAUCAAAAUAAGCUUAACACCCUGAAGAGAAUCCUACAAAUUUACCAGGAAAUAGUGGCCAGAAAAAACGCAUACUGGGAGGAGACGGUCAAGAUGAGUCACAAGCACCAUCAGAUUGGUUUUACUUCCUUUAUUUCCCAAAUUAUCAUUGACUUGAACACAGUGCAUGUAUUUACUAAUUCAGGGCUAAAUGGAAACACAUGAUGUAAUCUUAGUGACAUGUAUAGUAGCUAUAACAUUUUAGUCUAUCGCCUUAAAGGGAUAGUUUACCCCAAAAUGAAAAUUCUAUUAAUUACUCACCCUCAUGUCGUUUCAAACCAGUAAAACCUUUAUUCAGCUUCGAAACACAAAUUAAGAUAUUUUUGAUGAAAUCCAAGAGCUCUCUGACCCUCUAUGGACAGCAAGAGUAACGUUACUACCACUUUCAAGGCACAGAAAGGUAAUAGUUAAAUAAACAUUUCAAUAAGCAAGUACA